CACUCCUGCGGGAGGCAGCAGUGGGGAAUAUUGGACAAUGGGCGCAAGCCUGAUCCAGCCAUGCCGCGUGAGUGAUGAAGGCCCUAGGGUUGUAAAGCUCUUUCACCGGUGAAGAUAAUGACGGUAACCGGAGAAGAAGCCCCGGCUAACUUCGUGCCAGCAGCCGCGGUAAUACGAAGGGGGCUAGCGUUGUUCGGAUUUACUGGGCGUAAAGCGCACAUAGGCGGACUAUUAAGUCAGGGGUGAAAUCCCGGGGCUCAACCCCGGAACUGCCUUUGAUACUGGUAGUCUUGAGUUCGAGAGAGGUGAGUGGAAUUCCGAGUGUAGAGGUGAAAUUCGUAGAUAUUCGGAGGAACACCAGUGGCGAAGGCGGCUCACUGGCUCGAUACUGACGCUGAGGUGCGAAAGCGUGGGGAGCAAACAGGAUUAGAAACCCCAGUAGUCCCAUG
rnacentral:rRNA from 1 species